GCGAUAAUGGGUCGGGUGUCCUCUCUCCGGUAAGACCUCCCUCCUCGUUUUCUUCCCCUCUCCUCCAUGAUUUUCUGAAUUUCUAGAGUUAGGAUUUUUGGUUUUUGGGAGCGGGGUAGAGGAAGAGGAAGAAGGCCAUGUGGUAGAGAAGAGGAGGACCUCAAGGCUGUGGAGAAGGAGGAACAACGCUAGGAGUUUUUUUCUUCGAUCGGGCCAAAGGUGAUAGCCCUGUUUCUUCCCUAUUUUAGAUGAACACCUCCUUCUUUCUUCCUUAGAUGAACUGCUAAUUAAGAAAGAACUGGGAGUCUACAAGCUGCCCCAUGGUUGCCUUCGUUUCCACCAAGGCUAACUAAUUUUCUUGCAUGUUCGAUUUUUGAUAUCUUCCCGAUCUCCCAAGUUCACAAUAUUUUUUACAAAGAAUUCAUAGAAAUUAUACAGCCUCAUUUUAGCUAGGUCUAGAUCAACUGGGUGCGCUAUGCAUUCAUAGUUGCGAAACAAUUCUGGAUAUUUCCAUGGUAAAUUUUCUGGAAUAUCUGAUUGUUCAUGUAUUGGUAAAAAAUCCAAAAAUUGAAUAGUAGCAAGGUGCAUUCUCUAGGAAGAAUUUUAUGUUUUCACUCUUCUGUAUAUAUAUACAGGAGCAUGCAUUUAAUUAGCAAUGUGCUGGUAAAAAGAUGGAUCUGUCAUUAGCAUAAAGUAGUUCUUACAUAUGCUAUAGACGAAUCCUUUUUUAGGUUUUAGGGGUGCUAUAUAGACGAUUCAUUGAUGAAGGAACAUUUGUGGAAACUGAUUUGAGAAAUUAUUGUUGAUAUAGGUAAUGACACUGUAGUUGUACAUGAGAACGGUUGUCUUGUAAGAUGUUUUGAGCAUUAGUUUGGGUGCUCAAUUGCAACAAUUACUUCUCUAUAAAGGGAUGUUUCAUUCUUGGACGGUUCCCUACACGCAUGCUUCCACCAUAUACAAUAUGGUAUUACUUUUGAAAGUUCUUAGUGGUCAAAUAAUUAUGUUGUUCCUAUUCUCUUUAUUCAAAAUGACAUCCGAUGAACUUGAAGGUUACACUGGCAUCUGUGUGACUAACAGCUAGCUAACACUGGAAUUUUCAGAAUGAAGAUGCAUGCUUACGUGUUUUAGGAGUUGCUAGUCGUACAAUAGAAGCAAUGAAUGAACCUAUGAGGUGUAGUUCUUCUCGCUAUUUUCAUUUCGAGUGUAAUAAUCUGCUGGAGGUAUUUUCCAUUCAGACUAGUGAAGUUUUGCAUCCUGCAAGUGUGCAUAUGUAUUCUGGAAGAAAAAGAAAAGCAUACCCAGUAAGAUGUAAUCCUUGCCAUUUUAUUAAGCAAGUUAAUUCAUACUAUUUUUAUGUCCUCCUUGACAAUGUAUUUGAUCAAUUGUCUAAAAGUUUCAUACAUUGUGAGAGUAAAAUAAAGUACAUUCAGAAUACUGUUCUUGAUUCAAUAAAAAUAAAGUACGUUGCAGAUGGCCGAUGUCGGAGUAGAAGCAUCAGUGCGCACCACCACUAGCUCUUCCUCGACCCUCCUUGCGACAGCCUUCCGCUGCGGCCACUGCCUCCUCCUGGACCGCGCUUCAGCAACAUGCAGCACCUUCAUUGCCCGUGCUUCAUCUGACACACUGGAGGGUUUGCACCAAGCCUCCAUCACUGUCCCUGACUGCCUAUCUAUAUGUGUUUUCUCUCACUCGAUGUAUUUGUAUCAUAUGAAAUCGAAAUGCAAUGGACUGAUGUAUUGGUAAAUGUAGGAUUGUAGAUGGUAUCUCUGUUUUUUUUGUCUGUUUUUGGUUUGGACAGAAGCAUUCUCAUGUUGUGCAAGAGAAGUGGAAGAACUGCAAGUAAGGAAAGGAGAUACCAGAGUCUGCGAAGUGGUUGUAGUUGUUACACAUAUAGAGAAUGUUGCUGCACAAUGCAUGAGAACCAUAUAAAUAGUCAUAGCAUGUUGUCUUUGUAGCUCAAAAUAUUUGCUGUCGCAAGACUUUCAUGUCAUCCUGGCUGUGCUGCGAAUUUACCCUUUCUAUGAAUUGAUGCUGUUAGGUGCUCCGUUUCAUCAUGACUAUAGCCAGUGCUAGCCUGCUUUUUAAGUUUUUUUUUUGGAACACAUAAUAUUUUAUUGAUCUAGCAACAACGUACAUGUACAAAUGUGCAUUGCAACACUAGAGAUUGCACCAUUACAUGAGCAUUGAGG
rnacentral:lncRNA from 1 species